UCAGGACUGACGAACCAAGUACUUGCUGAUGGAGACCGAGUUGGUCGAUGAGGGAGAGCUCAGGGGUCACCUAUUUGGGGCCAGGAUAAAGGAACAAAUGGAAAGAAGGAUUCGUAAAUCUUGAAACAGCUCUUAGAGACCACCACAAGCUUAAGACCGAGAAUCACUUCCCAGGGUGGCCUGGGAUACUCAGUAACGAGCCCUCGGCGACCUGGACCUUCUUGCCUCCAGCCCCCGCCAGCCUCAACACUCUGGGUAAAGUAAAUUAAAAACCCGGACAACCGGAGUCUGUGAGAAUGAAAACGACAUCGGGAUUCCAGACAGCUGACUCGCCCAGAGCUCGGACGGGACCUACGCAGGGCGGGUACGCCAACUCCUACAACGACACGUCACCGUGCUUGGCCGCUUCUUGGUUGGUGGGCGGGGCGACAUCUACUUCCGGAUCCGGCCUCUUCUGGGUAACGCCUCACCUGCGGUUCCCUAGGUUACCUGAUGGCGGGGCGGGGCGGGGCGGGGCGAGGCGGGAGGGGCGGAGCGAAGAGAUCCAGAGUUGAGGAGAUAGCUCCUGGUUGGUGGGCGCCCUUAAGUGGAAGCGCAUCCAGAGACUUCUCGCAACUAGGAAAAAGGGAAAUUUCCUCUGCGUUCUCACACAGAUGGUGGUGCAACUUUCUUCAGACUACUGAUAACUCUGGCAGGAGCAAAACCUGAGGGAAGGGAUUUUUCCUAUGCUGCAGACUGCAUUUAACAAUUCGGAGAAGCUGAGGAAAGGGAAAGGUUUUUGUUUUGUGUUUUGUUUCCUUAAUUAAUAAUGGAUAUGGAUAAUGAAAAGGGUCUGAGAGGGAUGAGCGAUGGCUGCACAAUUCAAUAUACUCUGAUCUUUAUGCUCAAAAUAGUUAAGAUGAUAAAUUUUAUGUUUGGUUUGUCACAGUUAAAAUCCAGAAUUCUUUUCUCCCCACUCUUUUCUGCUGAAAUAAUUUAGACAUCCGCUUUUCUGAGUUUCUCACAUUGUAUGAAUGAGAUGGCCAGAUUUAACAAACAAAUAUACAGAUAACCAUUUUAAAUGUUUUCAUUUCAGAUGCUCAUUCAAAUAUUACACAGGAAAUACAUAUUGGCCACCUUACACAUGUGUCGAGAGUAAACUGAUAGGAAAGUGCCUUAUAUUUGAAAAAAGUAGGCAUUGUAUUUUACCAGAUAGAUAGAUAGAUAGAUAGAUAGAUAGAUAGAUAGAUAGAUAGAUGUAAAUGAAAAAGUCUUCAAGAUUUUUCUAGAAGGGAAAAAAAAUCCAGAUCUUCAUUUUCUGACAGAGUAUGUCGCCAAAACAGGUCAGACUAUCACACCCAAAAUAUGCCAUUUGGGUGUAAAAGACAAUUCUGGAUUAAAGGCAACAGAAAACUAGUGUGCACAAGAUUGUUCUCUUUUCUGUCUAAACAGCAUAGAGAUUUGCCUUUAUGGAAGCAGGGGUAGAGCCUGGUGGGCUAGACCUGCAACCCCAUCUACCACGGUGGGGGGGGUGAGGGGGAGGUGUUGAAACAAGGAUCUGCCUGAGGUUCAAGACCUGCCUGAGCUGCAGAGCCCUGAGUUUGAGAGCAGAUUGGGAAACAUAAUGAAACUGUGUCUCAAGAAGUGCAAAAAAAAGGGGGGGGGGUGGCCUUAGUGGUAUAGUGCUAGCCUAGAUGUGUUAGGUCCUAGUUUCAACCCACAGAACAGUAACACACAUACACACACACACACACACACACACACACACACACACACACAGAGUAGAAAGCAAGAGAUGAUUAUUUGCCCAAUAGAAUCAGAACCCUCCCCUCCAACCAAUAAGACUUGAGACAAUACUAAGAAAAAAAUUUUAUAAUAAUUAAUUAAUAAUUAUAAUAAUUAAAUAAUUAAUAUAUUAAUAAUUUAUAAUAAUUUUAUAAUAAUUUAGCAAUCAACUCUAGUCUGCCACAUUUCCUCAUUGAUGCCCUAAUGGAUUGCCUAUGAAUCAAAACCUGUUUUAACUAGUCACCUCUAUACAAUGUGUUGCUUCUUUUUGGGGGGGAGGGGAAGUCUCUUUUUUAUUCAUGAAAAUAGUCAUUUCACUCAACAGGGUCUUACAAACAUCAAUUAUAUACAGUGUAUAGCUUUAGCAAAAUAGCAAAUCAAUGACAACAAAAGCAAUAACAUUGAUUAAAACCUUGAAACAAAACAAAUGAAAACCCCAAAGAAAACAAUAUCCAAGCUAGAAAAUUGAUUUUUAAAAAUGAUUAAAAUUUGUCUGAUUGUAACAAGACCUACAUCUUUGGCUGGUCUUGGGUACAGAUUGUAAUAGCCUAUCAAGUCAAGUGUGGCCAUACCUUUAGGGUGUUUGAAGAUCAAGCCCUCCUGGGGCCAAGGAUGAGACAGUUUCAGGCUUUUAUUCAAAGUCUUAUUAAUUCACUUUAUUCAUUUCUACUAAAGUAACCCUGACGGUCCUUCAGGACAGCGCUAAUCUACAGUCUCAGACUCCUGGCUACUAGCAGCUCUGGUCCUGUCCCUGCAACUCUCUGAAGCCCUCCCCAGUACAUCCUCACAAGACGGGAAUCCCAGUCUCUGUGGGGAAUAAUCUCCCAGUGCUACCUGUGUGACAGCAUUUCCUCUGCUCAAACCUUUCCAUCCAAAGGAGAUAAAUGUCUGAAGUUCAUCUGCUUGAUAUGGAAAAAAUCUGCCUGCCUAACUCAGACAUUCUCUAUAAAUCCUUUCUCAGUUCAGGCUGUGAAACAGUGAAAUCCAAUUAUUAUUAUUUUUUUUUUUGACAGUCAAGUGACUGCCAUGAGAGACGGACAGUCAUCCUCAGGGCAGUACACUCUUGAGCAACUCUUGUGUGUGACACAGAGUCGGCUUCAGCACUGACUGAGAGCCCUAUGCUAUGGGUGUGGUUGAUACCCGACUCACUGUUGAGCUCUCAGCUGUAAGGAGGCGCCUUUUUUGAGGAGGCCUUGAUCCUAAAUUGAAGACUAUCAUGAAUUCAAGUUGCCAGUGUUCUUCAUUGCCCUCUGGUCUCUCAGAGGUGCUGACGUGCUUAUCGCUCCUUAUGCAGCACUUCUGUCUGCAGGAGGUUGGUCUGUGCCUGUUUUGGGUUCAUGCUGGACUCUUUCACACCCGUGUCCUUUGUGGACUGUGGCAGCCACAGUUAAAGAGUGGGCAGCAGGUGAAGUGACAUCUUCUUCAGAGGAGAGCACAGGUCCCGGAAGUGGUCCUGUCCUCAGCCAGGUGCUACUGGAGCAGCAGCUCCUCCCAGAGGCCUCCCGCUUCCUCCUCCAGCUGUAGCCAUUAGCUCUCCCUCUGCUUCUGAACGUGGCCUCUACCUCUGUCAUGGUCUGGGCCAGACUCUGUUGUCAUAGGGCGAGCAGCCCCUGGCGGUAAGGUUCCAUAGUGUCCUCCGACCUCUUCUCUCCCGGACUCAUUUGGCGGGGCUCAGCGCUGACAGAUGGCUCCAGGGAUACCAGAAGCAACCAGGCUGUUUUCUGCCUAGCUUGGCAGUGACCUGGGGUGAGGGCAGCAGUGAGACGCUAAGGCCCACCGGCCAGGGCCAGCAGGCCUGGGGCUGAAACGUUUGGUUGACUCUUAUAGGCUGCAUCUUGGGUUCCAGGACAUAGCCCAUUUGGCUGCAGCCCCAAGGAGACUGAAGAAAGAAGAAAAGGUGUAGGGGGUGGGGGGUGGAGUUGGGGAUGGCUGGCCUAAAGGAGCUUCCACUCAGCCUCUGAACAACCUACUGGCCUGCAAACUGCAUUUGCUGCUGAGGGAGUCUGGCUGAGAGCCCAAGGCUAUGCCAACUCAUCACCUCAGCCAACACAACUGCAGCCAGCACCUACCUCUCUGCUCACUGGCCACCGUUCUGGCUGGAGGCUAAGGCAUUAGAUUCAGGAGACAAGUCAUGGCCCCUGACCCUGACCCUGACCCAUCUAACGCCCUCCCGGCGUCCCAGGAAGCUGGAGAGUUCGCUGUUUGGAGGAGCAGGUGAUGACCAACGGAUUGCUUCUUCUUAAAACAGUAAACAUUCCUGAAAGAACAA